AUCCUUUCCUGGUACCGGGUUUAGGGUAAUCAAGAAUGCUCUAAACCCGGGUGAAGGCUCACCAUUCCACUUCGGUGGGUUGAAACUCGCGGUGGACCCCAUUUCGGGUGCGCUCGGGCGUGUAGUUUUUGUUGGUGCGUCGGUGGCACAGCGGUUAGGAUGCU
rnacentral:snRNA from 1 species